GCCCAUUUAGAGCAGUGGUUAGCUCGCUGGCCUCCGAUCAUCGGGACAGCCAGAAGUCGUGGGUUCAAAUCCCGCAAUGGGUA